UAGAUGGAUGCUCGCUGGUUUAAGCACUUAGCUGUUAACUAAACAUUUGUAGGAUCGAGGCCUACUCAUCUAG
rnacentral:tRNA from 1 species